rnacentral:rRNA from 1 species
GACGAACGCUGGCGGCGUGCUUAACACAUGCAAGUCGAACGGAAAGGCCCUGCUUUUGUGGGGUGCUCGAGUGGCGAACGGGUGAGUAACACGUGAGUAACCUGCCCUUGACUUUGGGAUAACUUCAGGAAACUGGGGCUAAUACCGGAUAGGAGCUCCUGCUGCAUGGUGGUGGUUGGAAAGUUUCGGCGGUUGGGGAUGGACUCGCGGCUUAUCAGCUUGUUGGUGGGGUAGUGGCUUACCAAGGCUUUGACGGGUAGCCGGCCUGAGAGGGUGACCGGCCACAUUGGGACUGAGAUACGGCCCAGACUCCUACGGGAGGCAGCAGUGGGGAAUAUUGCAGAAUGGGCGGAAGCCUGAUGCAGCAACGCCGCGUGCGGGAUGACGGCCUUCGGGUUGUAAACCGAUUUCGCCUGUGACGAAGCGUGAGUGACGGUAAUGGGUAAAGAAGCACCGGCUAACUACGUG